UAGGAGGAGGGUUUUGUGUUUGUUGGAGUUUUUUUUUCUCUCAAAGCCUUAAACUCCAAUUACGUUAGCAGGUGUGUGCACGUGCCCUGUGCACGGGUGUGUCCUGUCUGGUUUCAGUUCCCAGGGUAAACCACAUGCACGAGGAUUCACGUUUACAGAUUGCAUCCGCAAUCAUUCUUAUGGGGCCAAAGAUGAAAUGAAAAUUCUUCAGGCUUCCACGAGAAAGCAGAAUGAAGCCAAGGACUCUUAUCCUACCAGGCUAUCAGCAGCUGUUUAGUGCCUGGGAAGAUGAGAACCAUGACAACAUAGUGCUGGCCCCUCACCUGGAUGCCCCCGUGUGAAGGUGCACAGGCUGCUGGAAUGGGCACGGGACAUCUGGCUAGAGGACGGU
rnacentral:lncRNA from 1 species